GACGAACCGUGCGAACGUUGUUCGGAAUCACUGGGCUUAAAGGGCGCGUAGGCGGGCCUUCAAGUCCGGGGUGAAAUCCUCCAGUCUAACUGGAGAAGAGCCUCGGAGACUGAGGGCCUCGAGGAGGGUAGGGGCAAGCGGAACUAUGGGUGGAGCGGUGAAAUGCAUUGAUAUCCAUAGGAACGCCGGUGGCGAAGGCGGCUUGCUGGACCAUUUCUGACGCUGAGGCGCGAAAGCCAGGGGAGCAAACGGG
rnacentral:rRNA from 1 species